AACGCGAAGAACCUUACCUGGGCUCGAAAUGGAGUGGACCGGAGUAGAAAUACUCCUUCCCCGCAAGGGACCUGUGUAGAGGUGCUGCAUGGCUGUCGUCAGCUCGUGCCGUGAGGUGUUGGGUUAAGUCCCGCAACGAGCGCAACCCUUACUCUUAGUUGCCACCCGCAAGGGGGAACUCUAGGAGGACUGCUCCGGAUAACGGAGAGGAAGGUGGGGAUGAGGUCAAGUCAGCAUGGCCUUUAUGUCCAGGGCUACACACGUGUUACAAUGCGCGCUACAAAGUGUCGCGAACCCGUGAGGGGGAGCUAAUCGCAAAAAAGCGCGCUCAGUUCGGAUUGCAGUCUGCAACUCGACUGCAUGAAGCUGGAAUCGCUAGUAAUGGCGCAUCAGAUCGGCGCCGUGAAUACGUUCCCGGGCCUUGUACACACCGCGCAUA
rnacentral:rRNA from 1 species